GGCCCCGUAGCUCAGUCGGAUAGAGCGCAAGAUUCCUAAUCUUGGUGCCAAAGGUUCGAUUCCUUUCGGGGUCACCA
rnacentral:tRNA from 1 species